CCUACGGGAGGCAGCAGUGAGGAAUAUUGGUCAAUGGGCGCAAGCCUGAACCAGCCAAGUCGCGUGAGGGAAGACGGCCCUACGGGUUGUAAACCUCUUGUGCCGGGGAGCAAGCCUGAGCACGUGUGCCCAGGCGGAGAGUACCCGGAGAAAAAGCAUCGGCUAACUUCGGGCCAGCAGCCGCGGUAAUAGGGAGGAUGCGAGGGUGCUCCGGAUUUAGUGGGUUAAAAGGGUCCGCAGGGGGGGUGUUAAGCCGGCGGUAAAAAUUCAGGGCUCAACCCGGGCGAGCCGUCGGAACUUGCAGUCUUGAGUGGGCGAGAAGUAUGCGGAAUGCGUGGUGUAGCGGUGAAAUGCAUAGAUAUCACGCAGAACGCCGAUUGCGAAGGCAGCAUACCGGCGCCCGACUGACGCUGAGGCACGAAAGCGUGGGGAUCGAACAGGAUUAGAUACCCUGGUAGUC
rnacentral:rRNA from 1 species